rnacentral:misc_RNA from 1 species
GAUGAAGAACGUAGCGAAAUGCGAUAAGUAGUGUGAAUUGCAGAAUUCAGUGAAUCAUCGAAUCUUUGAACGCACAUUGCGCCCCUCGGUAUUCCGUGGGGCAUGCCUGUUCGAGCGUCAUUUAACCCCUUAAGCCUAGCUUGGUAUUGGGUGCUUGUCCCGCCUCUCGCGCGGCGACUCACCUCAAAGUCAUUGGCAGCCCGCAUCUCGCCGGCCGUGAGCGCAGCACAGACGCGCUCUUGGCAACGACGGAUCGGCUCUCCAAAAGCUUAUUUCAACCACUGACCUCGGAUCAGGUAGGGAUACCCGCUGAACUUAAGCAUAUCAAUAAGCGGAGGA